rnacentral:rRNA from 1 species
CUGUACAGUUCAGAGUUUGAUCCUGGCUCAGGACGAACGCUGGCGGCGUGCCUAACACAUGCAAGUCGAACGGAGUAAAACGCUGAUUUGAUGUUAGCUUGCUAACGGAUUUUCUUGUUUUACUUAGUGGCGGACGGGUGAGUAACGCGUGAGUAACCUGCCUUACAGAGGGGGACAACAGUUGGAAACGACUGCUAAUACCGCAUAACAUAUUUUGAGGGCAUCCUCGGAAUAUCAAAGGAGCAAUCCGCUGUAAGAUGGACUCGCGUCCAAUUAGAUAGUUGGUGGGGUAACGGCCCACCAAGUCGACGAUUGGUAGCCGGACUGAGAGGUUGAACGGCCACAUUGGGACUGAGACACGGCCCAG